AGAAAAUGGCCUUGGUCUGCUCUCCCCGGGAGUCUGCGUUACAUGUUGAAAGGUCCAGUAGAACACAUUGCUGAGAUGAGGAAAUGCUAAUGACCCUAGGCCGACAGAGCUUACAGGGAGAGAGUUAUAGAGGAAACGCUGAUAAACCACUUAUCGGGCGGGAGAGAUGGUUUAGUGGUUAAGAGUACUGGCUGUGCUUCCAGACGAUCCAGGUUUGGUUCCUAGCACCUGCAAUGGUGGCUCAUCACCAUCUGUAAAGCCAGUCCCAGGGGGAUCCAACACCUGUCCUUUGCGUGCACCAGGUACACACGGUACACAUUUAUCAAUACAGCUAGAACACCCAUACACAUAAGGAGAUAAACCAAUAAUUUCAAAAUAGACAACUUAUCACACUAUCUCCGUAUGUAUCAGAUUAGCAGAGCUCUGCGCUGUCCACUCCCACCUUCCACCCCAACCUAGACUUGUCUGGUGAUGCUGCCACGCUACUUCCUUUAGAGCUGAUAAAUGACACAGAAAAGGAAUGGGUUCUGGGGGCAUAGUAGGUUUUCACAAAGCACAGAAUGGUUCAGUGAUUGUGCAGGAGGUGGUGUGGGCAGAUAGGUGAUGCCUUCUUGGGGAGAAAGGAAGAUAUAAAUAAAGCUAACUGCCUUUUCAAAGCCUGGGCCCGGGGGACGGUAACAUAGAAAAACUACAACUCCCAGAAGUCUCUGUUUCUAGGCAAGUAGCGACGGUUGCUAUGGUUUCGGAAAACAAUAUGGCUGCUCCCAGAUGGGAUUUGAGUCUGUGCGGAAUAAGGACCCAAACACCUAUCUGAACGCUCGCAAUUGCGAGAGGAGGCAUUUGAAGGGUUCUGGGGCUAGCGCUGGGCUCUGUCGGGAACGGUGAGGCCUUGCUCUGGAUCUAAUGGAAAGCAGCGUGGAUGAGGAGGCUCUGCACCAGCUGUACCUCUGGGUAGACAACAUCCCUCUGUCCAGACCCAAGAGGAACCUCUCCCGGGAUUUCAGCGACGGAGUCCUGGUUGCAGAGCUUAUCAAGUUUUACUUCCCCAAGAUGGUGGAGAUGCACAAUUAUGUCCCCGCCAACUCUCUCCAGCAGAAGCUCAGCAACUGGGGUCACCUGAACAGAAAGGUGCUGAACAAGCUGAACUUCUCCGUCCCAGAUGAUGUGAUGCGGAAAAUUGCGCAGUGUUCUCCGGGGGUAGUGGAGCUAGUGCUCAUUCCAUUGAGGCAGCGCCUGGAGGAGCGGCAGAGGCGCCAGAAGCUGGGUGUUGGCUCCUUACAGGAGCUGGUUCCUCAGGAUAGCAGUGGCUACAUGGAUAUGGGUUUGUCCCAGAAGGUUCGAGGAGAUGCCCCAACCCUGGGAGAGCAGCUCAGGUAAAGCUGAGAGCUGGACUUCACCAGGCUUGGUAACUUACCCACACAGACUAGGUGGCAGUGCCUUGGGAACUGGGAGCUUCGGUGGGGAAACAGUGAAGAGGGAAGGUCUGGCCACGGGUAUUAGAAGGGAAAGAUGGGGUCUGAUGUCCAGGCCUCUGCUAAGCUGCUACCCACUGCAGAGAGGGCCAUCCGCUGGCUCCCCGACCCCCUGGGUAUAACCAGGCGCUGCAGGGGGAUCCGAACUUCGUCCUCCAGAUCGCUGAAAAGGAGCAGGAGCUGUUGGCCUCUCAAGAGACAGUACAGGUCCUUCAGAUGAAGGUGAAGCGUCUGGAACAUCUGCUCCAACUCAAGAACGUGCGCAUCGAUGACCUCUCCCGGCGGCUCCAGCAGGCCGAGCGCAAGCAGCGGUGAGCGGUGCCAGGGCUGCGCGGGGUUUCCCAAUACCCGCCAGAGCCCAGACGCCGCGACCCACCACUCACCUGCGGACGCAGGAUUGGGAGGGCGGAGCGAGCUGCUCGUUAGCGUCUCCGGCAGCUACCGCGCUCGGCUGCAAAGGGUUCGGGCGAACGUGGGGGUGUUCAAAACCGAGGCCGGACACUGAUCCUCCUCCUUACACUCCAUCUGGGCCAGGAAAAAGGACCACUUUCCACAGCCCAGAAAACCUGUACGAACACACCUCAUGACUUCCCAAAUCGUGUCCUCUUUGAAGCUCCCGGCACUGGGCCUGGAGAGGCGGUCCUCUGGCUCGUUCCACACCCCUAGAACCGGUUCCUUUCUCAGCAUAGAAGAUAGCUUCAUCUCUGUCCAUGCUAAAUCUCCAUGCCCCCCGACACGCGAGAAACUAUCCCCGGAAGCUGAGGAAUUCUCUUGCCCCUUCUGGGUGCUGACCUGGGAUCCUUCUCAGGGCUGGAAAUCACAGCAGCUGGCGAGGAAGGGAUAAGGUGUUGAAGUAGUCGGGAGUAAGGGAGGCAUCCAGCUGUGCAAUCGCUCUCCUCUCAGGGAGCAUUAUCAGGAGUGCCUGGGGAAGACAAGGCAGAGCUGUCUCCAUUAAAGGUGGUGUUGUGCGUUC
rnacentral:lncRNA from 1 species